UACGUAGGGACCAAGCGUUGUUCGGAUUUACUGGGCGUAAAGGGUGCGUAGGCGGCGCGGUAAGUCGGGUGUGAAAUCUCGGAGCUUAACUCCGAAACUGCAUUCGAUACUGCCGUGCUUGAGGACUGGAGAGGAGACUGGAAUUUACGGUGUAGCGGUGAAAUGCGUAGAUAUCGUAAGGAAGACCAGUGGCGAAGGCGGGUCUCUGGACAGUUCCUGACGCUGAGGCACGAAGGUCAGGGGAGCAAACGGG
rnacentral:rRNA from 1 species